UACGUAGGGUGCGAGCGUUAAUCGGAAUUACUGGGCGUAAAGCGUGCGCAGGCGGUUUGUUAAGUCUGAUGUGAAAGCCCCGGGCUCAACCUGGGAACUGCAUUGGAAACUGGCAAGCUCGAGUAUGGCAGAGGGGGGUGGAAUUCCGCGUGUAGCAGUGAAAUGCGUAGAGAUGCGGGGGAACACCGAUGGCGAAGGCAGCCCCCUGGGCCAAUACUGACGCUCAGGCACGAAAGCGUGGGGAGCAAACAGG
rnacentral:rRNA from 1 species